AGAAGAUUGAAGAAAUAGAUGAAGCUUUAGUUACAUGAUUUAAAGGUUUUUUUUUAGUGUGUAACUAAGGAAUAGAAGAAAUGAAUAUAUCCAGCUUAAUUAUGCAAUUAUAAGAUGAAUCUGAACUAAGCAAGAGUACAUAACAAAACCUAGCAAAAGCAAAAAAAGCAAAAGAAGCAGAAUUGAGUAACCUUGAUGAAAUUGGGAAGUAAGAAGAAGAAACACAAGUGAUUUUGAUUUUGGGUAUUGCACUUGCAUAUGUAAUACUAGUAGUAUU
rnacentral:misc_RNA from 1 species